UGGGUGGCGGACGGGUGAGUAACGCGUAAAGAACUUGCCUCACAGUUAGGGACAACAUUUGGAAACGAAUGCUAAUACCUGAUAUUAUGAUUUUAGGGCAUCCUAAGAUUAUGAAAGCUAUAUGCGCUGUGAGAGAGCUUUGCGUCCCAUUAGCUAGUUGGAGAGGUAACGGCUCACCAAGGCGAUGAUGGGUAGCCGGCCUGAGAGGGUGAACGGCCACAAGGGGACUGAGACACGGCCCUUACUCCUACGGGAGGCAGCAGUGGGGAAUAUUGGACAAUGGACCAAAAGUCUGAUCCAGCAAUUCUGUGUGCACGAUGACGUUUUUCGGAAUGUAAAGUGCUUUCAGUUGGGAAGAAAAAAAUGACGGUACCAACAGAAGAAGUGACGGCUAAAUACGUGCCAGCAGCCGCGGUAAUACGUAUGUCACAAGCGUUAUCCGGAUUUAUUGGGCGUAAAGCGCGUCUAGGUGGUUAUGUAAGUCUGAUGUGAAAAUGCAGGGCUCAACUCUGUAUUGCGUUGGAAACUGCAUGACUAGAGUACUGGAGAGGUAAGCGGAACUACAAGUGUAGAGGUGAAAUUCGUAGAUAUUUGUAGGAAUGCCGAUGGGGAAGCCAGCUUACUGGACAGAUACUGACGCUAAAGCGCGAAAGCGUGGGUAGCAAACAGGAUUAGAUACCCUGGU
rnacentral:rRNA from 1 species